rnacentral:rRNA from 1 species
CAGCCGCCGCGGUAAUACGUAGGUGGCAAGCGUUGUCCGGAAUUAUUGGGUGUAAAGGGCUCGCAGGCGGUUUCUUAAGUCUAAUGUGAAAGCCCCCGGCUCAACCGGGGAGGGUCAUUGGAAACUGGGAAACUUGAGUGCAGAAGAGGAGAGUGGAAUUCCACGUGUAGCGGUGAAAUGCGUAGAGAUGCGGAGGAACACCAGUGGCGAAGGCGACUCUCUGGUCUGUAACUGACGCUGAGGAGCGAAAGCGUGGGGAGCGAACAGGAUUAGAUACCCCCGUAGUCCCUGUCUCUUAUAC